rnacentral:misc_RNA from 1 species
GAUAAGAACGCAGCAAAAUGCGAUAAGUAGUGUGAAUUGCAGAAUUCAGUGAAUCAUCGAAUCUUUGAACGCACAUUGCGCCCCUUGGUAUCCCGAGGGGCAUGCCUGUUCGAGCGUCAUUUCACCACUCAAGCCUGGCUUGGUGUUGGGCGACGUCCCCUUUGGGGACGCGCCUCGAAACGCUCGGCGGCGUGGCACCGGCUUUAAGCGUAGCAGAAUCUUUCGCUUUGGAAGUCGGGGCCCCGUCUGCCGGAAGACCUACUCGCAAGGUUGACCUCGGAUCAGGCAGGGAUACCCGCUGAACUUAAGCAUAUCAAUAAGCGGAGGA